CCAGACUAAACCUGAUAAACUUCCUGCAAAGAUAAACGCAAAAUUACCUUCAAGCUGUAAAGAUCUCAGUGUUGAGUAUAAAUGUUCAGGAAUCAACAAUGACUCUGUUGAACUUUCUGACAUGAAGCCGUUCACAAACUACAGCUGUACUGGUGACAUCAAGAUGAACAAUGGCUCCAUAAUUCAGACACUUCCACCUGUCCAGUUCAACAUUAACUGUGAUUUUACAGUAAACAACCUGAAGACCAGUUCAACCAAUACUUCCAUUGAGCUGAACUGGGAAACAAUGAGUGAUAAUUGUCAAAAUGUU